rfam:Sinorhizobium fredii GR64 contig00077, whole genome shotgun sequence.
GCCCCAUUGGCGGAAUUGGUAGACGCGCUCGACUCAAAAUCGAGUUCCCAAAAGGAGUGCUGGUUCGACCCCGGCAUGGGGCA